GCCCACAGAGCCCACAGAGCCCACAGAGCCCACAGAGCCCACAGAGCCAAGACACACUGAAACAGGACAGAAACAUGAGGACUCUCUCCUUUAUUCUGGUACUCAGUCUAUCCCUUUCCUCAGUCGAUGCACUGAUAUGCUAUUCGUGCCGUUCAACCGCCUCCAAUGCAGAGUGUAAUCAGACAAACGAAACAUGCCUGGCUGCUCAGGAUACGUGUAUGACCACCGAGGAAAGUGCUGGAGAUAAGAAAAGCCUGAUGAAACAGUGUACCAGUUUGGCUGACUGUGAGAGAGUUCAGCACAAUGCUGGUUCGGAUCCCC